CUGUAAUAUAUCAAAAUCUAAGUUAGUCCUUUCUCUAUUUGAUGCAAGUUAUUUCUCUUUAAAAGCUUUACUUGUUUAGAAGUUAUUACGAAUCAAACAGGAGUACUUUUUUUUGGGACACCCGGUAGAAUCAUAAAAUAUCUGCAAAUCAUGCCGAUAAUAUCUAUUUCAAUAUUUUGUCUGCAAAAAAAUAUUUGCCUCAAUCACCAUAGUUCUAGUUCUAUUUUAGGUUUUUAACAUUCAUACUUAAUUCUUGAGAUAUCAUGUUUACAAACAUGUUGAUUUUUCAUCAAUGGGGUGUAAUUAACAUGGUAACCAUGGCAACGGUUACUUUAAAAAACAUACUUUUUAUGUUUGUGUGGUACCAUGUCCUAAAAACUGAUCAAAGAUGAGCAUCAUAUUAUGGUAUAUAAACAAUGUAGUUUAAACUUCUGUUUAGGAUGGCUCAAUACAAUUUUUUAAAAAUGGGAAAUUUGCGAUUUUUGGAAUAUGUAAAACAAAAUCUAAAAAGUUACGCAACUGCCGUUGCUAUGCAAACAAUGACGUUCCAAUAUGGUGGAUUUUUUCUUUUUAAGUCGAAAACGACGUCGUAACCCCCAAUUUUUAUUUCAUAAAAUAGUUUCUCUUAGUGUAUUGAAUUACGCUGACAAUUUUAAAACAUUUCUGUUGAGCCGAAAUAUUUCAAAUUAUCUAAAGCUAUUAUUUCAUGAUAAUUGUUUUCGGCCUAACAGAAUUUUUUUUAAAUUGUCAAAACAAUUGAUUAUACUAAGGGAAAUCAUACUUUGAAAUACAAUUUGGUGUCAUCGUUUAAGAAAAAUAUCUGUCAUCUUGAAAGUUGAAACGUCGUUGUUGACAUACUAUAGUCGAACUCUUUAGAUGUUUUAUAUCAGUUAGAUAUUUUUUGUUUUUCAACAAGAAAUAAUUGUCCAAAAUAUGGACCUGAAUCGUGAAUUUUUCAAUUUUAAACAAAAAACUGUAUUGAGCCACCUUAAUGGCAAAUCUAGCUUACAACAAUCCCUGUUUGAAGGUCAGUCAAGGUGAAUCAAGUGACUAGCAGCUUUGCUUGUGUUGACUGUACUAAACAUACUUUGAACUCUGAAGAUCAACAAAGGUGAAUCAAUUAAACGUUUUACUUUAAACUAAGAUCAAUCAAGGUUCUUGAAUCAUGUAUAAGCAAGACCAAAUAUACAUCAAUGUUAAACGAUCGGAUUGCUUCACAAAAUAGCCAACACCAGCACGUAAUCAAUCUUAUAUAAUAUUCAAAGGAAGCACGACUAUACGUUCAGGCAAAGACUAUAUAUUCUAGAACUGCCAGGUUCGGAAUUUUAAUAGAUUACGUUCAGACUACCUUGUAUAUGCAGCUGAGCAAAAUAAUGCUGGCAGUUUGUUUAGAAAUUAAAUUAGCAUUCAUGUAAACCCAAAAUACUUGAAAUAGAGCAAGUCGAGAAAUUCAAAUGAAAAUCUUCGAAUUGACUGCAUGUUUUGAGAAGUGAGA